rnacentral:misc_RNA from 1 species
GAAAUGCGAUAAGUAGUGUGAAUUGCAGAAUUUAGCGAAUCAUCGAAUCUUUGAACGCACAUUGCGCCCCUUGGUAUUCCAUGGGGCAUGCCUGUUCGAGCGUCAUUUCAACCCUCAAGCACUGCUUGGUGUUGGGCGUUUGUCCCGCCUACGCGCGUGGACUCGCCUCAAAGUCAUUGGCAGCUGUUCCCCUUCGGCUCGUAAGCGCAGCACAGUCGGCGCCCGGAGCUCUGGUGGGAUGGCGUCCAGCAAGCUAUAUUUUCAGGCUUGACCUCGGAUCAGGUAGGACUACCCGCUGAACUUAAGC